rnacentral:rRNA from 1 species
GAUCAUGGGCUCAGGAUGAACGCUGGCGGCAUGCCUAAUACAUGCAAGUCGAACGAGAGGAAGGAAAGCUUGCUUUUCUGAAUCUAGUGGCGAACGGGUGAGUAACACGUAGGUAACCUGCCCAUGUGCCCGGGAUAACUUCUGGAAACGGAUGCUAAAACCGGAUAGGUAGCAGACAAGCAUUUGACUGCUAUUAAAGUGGCCUUGGCCAUGAACAUGGAUGGACCUGCGGUG